UACGAAGGGGGCUAGCGUUGUUCGGAUUUACUGGGCGUAAAGGGCGCGUAGGCGGCAAUUCAAGUCAGCUGUGAAAUCUCCGGGCUUAACUCGGAACGGUCAGCUGAUACUGCUUUGCUAGAGUGCAGAAGGGGCAAUCGGAAUUCUUGGUGUAGCGGUGAAAUGCGUAGAUAUCAAGAGGAACACCAGUGGCGAAGGCGGCUCACUGGACCGGAACUGACGCUGAGGCGCGAAAGCGUGGGGAGCAAACGGG
rnacentral:rRNA from 1 species